UAGAGAAAUGGCAGGCCAACUAUU
rnacentral:piRNA from 1 species